GACGUAGGGCGCGAGCGUUGUCCGGAUUUAUUGGGCGUAAAGAGCUCGUAGGCGGCUUGUCGCGUCGAAUGUGAAAACUCGGGGCUCAACUCCGAGCUUGCAUUCGAUACGGGCAGGCUAGAGUUCGGUAGGGGAGACUGGAAUUCCUGGUGUAGCGGUGAAAUGCGCAGAUAUCAGGAGGAACACCGGUGGCGAAGGCGGGUCUCUGGGCCGAUACUGACGCUGAGACACGAAAGCGUGGGGAGCAAACAGG
rnacentral:rRNA from 1 species